AGACAUCAUAUUCACCUUCUGGUAAAGUAAACCCGACAGAUAUUAACUAUGAGUGGUUCAAGGCUUAAAAAUGUCACCAACUCAAACACAGUGAAUUUUUGCAAACACUCUCGAUAAGUCUGUCUAGUCUAGUCAGGAUUAGAAUAAGUAUAGUUUUUAGAAGUCUAUCGAGUCUGCAUAUGUUUAGAGUCAGUUCUAUUCAUGUGGGGGAUUGUUGGAUCCAUUAAUAGCCAUUAGGCUUUUAUUAAUAAUGUGAAUACAAAUGACAUUGGGCUUCAGAUGUUGUGAGCCCAAGUUAAUGUCAAUUAAAUGAAAGAUAGCUAAGGGGAAGAGUCUCAAAUCUGCCAAGAGAAGAGAAUUGGAGUGAUAUAAAUAUGUCUUCUCACUAUGAGAGCUUAAACAACUUGGAGAGAGAGGACGGCUCCCCACGCGCGUGCCGCCGCCGACGUCCGGCCGGCUCGGCUCGGCUCGGCGUGGGCGUGGGCUUGGGCUUGGGCUUGGGCUUGGGUCCCUGGUCUUGGGUCUUGGGUCUUGGAUCUUGGGUCUUGGGUCUUGGGUCUUGGGUCUUGGGUCUUGGGUCUUAGGUCUUAGGUCUUGGGUCUUGGUGGAGGCCUCCGGCCCAAUAAGAUUAUUUUUAGACCAAGUUAAGCUCAACGUUUUUGCCAUUUCAUUUAUAAAAAACAGCAUGACAUUUGUGUAUAAACAACAUGUAGUUUGUCUAAAAACGACACGAAGUUUAUCUGUUCGAAAUGGAUCAGAACCGAGUCAACAAGAGAGAAACUUGCGGAGAAAGUUGCUCAACGUUCCACUCCGAGAUCCUUGAGAGAUUUUCGGAAAACGUUGGCAACAGUUUCGAAAAACCGCUCUUCAUCUCAUCUUUAUAUAUCGACUCUCUUCCUUCCUUCAUUUAAAAACUUUUCCCGUAUCAAAAUCCAACAGCGAAAAUCCCUUAGCGUAAGUCUAUAGUUCGAGAGUGUUUCGUAGAUUUAUAGUUCGAUAGGAUGAUUCACGAGUGAAGCGUAAUCGUCUACCAUGGUUAUAUCCUGGGACUCGAUAUUCGUACAGUACCGUCUCACUAACGGAGCGAAUAUUUAGAGUUAAAGAAAGAGAUUAUAUCUCGACUCCAUGUUUAUUUGCGAAUACGAUUUCUUAUCGUUCUUGUAUUCGCUUUACAAAUCGUCGAUUUCCUUAACGUAUUAUUUUUGUUAUAUCGUUUAUCUCAGUCUGGUUAUCCGACUUCUACACAGACUAGCACAGGUAGACACAAUUAUUGGUUCCCUACUUGGCUCUUACUUGACCAGUAAAGUCGAGUACUCAUCAUAUUCAUUCAACAAAAAAAAAUUGAGUACGCGUCUUGAUCAAAUCGAGUAUCUACUCGUUUGUUUCAACUAAUUGAAAUCACCAGAGAUGUUUCAAUAUUAUAAAUUAACUACUUGGUGUUGUUGGCUAAUAUAUUAUCCGUAGCUUGUUACCCAUUAACACAUUUUUUUUACUAAAUAUAAUAAAAGAAAUCAUUUAAAUGUAAUGAAUUAAACAAAAAAAGUAUAUUUAUAGAAACAUUUUUGAGUUUUUUUUCUUUUAUAUACUAUAUGUGAUAAAAAAAAUCUUUUCUCAUUCCAAUAUAAUGUUUUUCUAUAUUGAUUUAAGACAUUGAAAAGUAAGAAAAACUUCUUAUAAAAUAUAAGAGUUGUUUAGUUUUGAAUUAGAACUAACUAAACCUGUAUCAAUCAAAUUCAUGUGCAAAUUUAUAACUAGCUAAAAUAAAUAAAUAAUUAUCAAAUAACUUACAAAAAGCUAUCAAGUAAUUUGUAACUAGUUUACUAGUAACAAAUAGUAAAAUAGAGCGAGUAACGUGCAUAUAUGCCAAUUUUUAACAAAUACUUGAAAUUGCAAGUACUUAUUUUAAUAAACCAAAUACAAAUCUAAAUUGCAUUACCCAAACAAGAUAUGUCAAGUACCAAAUGUAGCAAAAAUGACAAAUACAUGGUUUGUGCCCACAGAGUUCUCAUAUCAACUAAAAAGUAAUAAAAAUUAAGAAGAUGAAAAAAAAAAUCUCAUAUGAGACUCUAUGAAUAUCACUAUAAUAUGUGUCAUUAUAAAGUACAAUUUUUAAUAUUAAAUUUUACAUAUGUAAUUAAGUUACAUUAAGAUAUAUUUUUUAUUCAGUUUCCAAAUGAUCUAUAUUUUAGAAAAAAUAGUUUUAAGAAAUUAUUUUUUAUAUUUUCAAAGUAUUUUUAUCAAUUAAUAGUAAAUUGUAGAUUUCGAAAAUUAAUUGUAUUUGUUAAAUUUUAUUGAUCAAAUUUUUUGAAAUUAUUAGUUUUUAAAAAUAGAUAAUAAUAAAAAUUUAAUAUGUUUUAUUAAUGUGUAAAAACUUUAAAACAUAGAUCAUGUAAAGUAGAAUGAGUACAUUUUGGUUAGCUACUUUCCUUACUAUUCUUAACGGGGUUAUCUUUUUAGAGCAAUGUUAGUGUGAAUUUCUCAAGUUGAGUUUAUCUUAAUAUGGCAACAAAGUAUUAAUUUUUAAUUGAAUAAUCUCUCAAUUAUUUUUGAAAACUUAAUACCAAAGUUUUUCAUUUCAAUUAUGUUGAUUUAGAUUUCUGAAGUAUCUAUUUUUUAUUCAAUAGUAUUUGUAUUUUAUUUCAUUUUUAGGAAAUACAAACUGAGAAUAAUAAGAGCAUCAUCAAUCGAUAGUUUCUCAAAAAUAUUUCUUAAUAUUAUUAUAUUAACUUCUCAAUAUUGUAAUCAAAAUCAAUAAUAGCAAAAGGAAGUGAAAGACAUGUCAUCUAGAAUAUCUUGUCAUUUGUGUUUUUUCCAAGAGAUGGUUUCCCUAAUUGUUUUCUUCUCUUUCAUGUUGUUAUUGUUAUUAUUAUUAUUAUUAUUAUUAUUAUUGUUAUUGUUAUUAUUAUUUCGGAUUUACUUAAAUUAUGAACCGUUUUGGAUUUUCUAAAUAUUUAAGAAUUUUAUUUAAUUAAAUACUAAUAUUUCAUUUAAUAUUUUUGAAACUGAAAUUGAGAAAAUAUAUUGUGAAUAGUUUUUCUAUUUGUUAACUAGAUUUUAUUUUUUCCGUUCAAAGGACAAUUAUAUAUAUGUAUCUUUAUUUUAUUGUCAAGUAUAUUUCGUCUCUUCAUCGAAACCAAACAAUAUUGUUCUGAUGAAAUUAGACGUCAACGCGCAUGGUUAUAGACUUUGGAUAAAUGAUUUUAGAAAUGGUUCCUCAACACUUCCUGUAACAAAGUUAUUUGUAUGAGUACAAAAGUAAGUUUGGUUAUUAAAAUGAAAAUUUACUCUUAUUAGAUACAAAAAAAUAUUUCUACAUCCUAUUUCCUCGGGUUUGUCUUAAUCUUCAAUAAACUACUAAGUACUAACUAAUACAUGGAAUUGAACAAAAACAUUUUUAUUAGUCCAAUUAUUAGUUAAGCUCUUCUUUGUGUGUGUAUAUCUAGUUAUAUAAAAAAGAGUUUGAAUCCCUCCUAGACUAUACACGUCGGCAGCCACGUCAUUAAUUCGCGCGCUGACAAGCCAACACGUGUUCCAGUUAAGUGAAACGCAACACUUCACUAAACUAUUUGUUACGUGGGUUUUUAUUUGACAUGGGCCUUCUUUUUGUUCGAUUAUGCCACUCCAUUAAUGUGUAUUUUCAAUUGGAAACGCGGCGUUGAAUGUCUUAGGGUUUUUUUUGCUUCAUCUCCGCCAUUCGAGAAUGAGACAGAACUAGAGUUCUAAGAGAUGUUUCAGCUUCUUAUUGUUAAUUUCUACCAGUUACAGAUUCCCCAUCUUAAAUUCCUUCUAAAAUCAUCACUCACGAUCUACCUUUGAGUUCUUCAUGCAAGGCGGUGUGAUCUCGAUUAUAAAAUGAUGGGUUUUCUGACUGGUGCUCGAAGCCUUGAAGAUUUACCUCUGGUAUAUUGAUUUCUCUUUAUGAAAAAAUUACUCUUCUAAAAGGAUGAGAGCAGUUUUCAGUUUUCAGAAAAUGAUCAUGCUGUUGGAAGCUCAAUAGAGAGCUAGAAGAUGCAGAGCAAAAGGUCACGGAAAUUAGGAAGAAGAUAACAACGUGUGUGAGUUGUCUAUGAUACAAGAACCGGUAACUAAUGGGGGAAAGAAGCUAUGAGUUGAUAACAUCAAUGCUGACAGUGGUUUUUCUGAGACAGAUUAUCCUGGUGACGAUAUUCCUGGAGCUGGAGCUGUGACAACAAAGCUCUCUUAAGGUGUGACCACUGACCAGGGACCUUUUGUAUACCAAGCUUAUACGGAGAAUCACAUCAUCCAUGGCACUACCAAUAGGUCCAUAAAUACGAAGCACUCGGUUGUGGUCGAUGGUUCAGACACGGAGGAGAUUUCUAGGUUAUUUAAUUUUUGUAAGAUGAUCUACCGUAGAAGACAUCAUGCCGUAUCAUUUUAUUAGAACAACACAACUUUUCCUUUGCUGCCUCUUUGUUUGAAUUCGCUUUUGACCAUUACCUUAUGUGCAUGUUCUCCCAACAUAUCAACCAUAUUUUUUAAUUA